GCUCCCUGAUGUUAGCGGCGGACGGGUGAGUAACACGUGGGUAACCUGCCUGUAAGACUGGGAUAACUCCGGGAAACCGGGGCUAAUACCGGAUGCUUGUUUGAACCGCAUGGUUCAAACAUAAAAGGUGGCUUCGGCUACCACUUACAGAUGGACCCGCGGCGCAUUAGCUAGUUGGUGAGGUAACGGCUCACCAAGGCAACGAUGCGUAGCCGACCUGAGAGGGUGAUCGGCCACACUGGGACUGAGACACGGCCCAGACUCCUACGGGAGGCAGCAGUAGGGAAUCUUCCGCAAUGGACGAAAGUCUGACGGAGCAACGCCGCGUGAGUGAUGAAGGUUUUCGGAUCGUAAAGCUCUGUUGUUAGGGAAGAACAAGUACCGUUCGAAUAGGGCGGUACCUUGACGGUACCUAACCAGAAAGCCACGGCUAACUACGUGCCAGCAGCCGCGGUAAUACGUAGGUGGCAAGCGUUGUCCGGAAUUAUUGGGCGUAAAGGGCUCGCAGGCGGUUUCUUAAGUCUGAUGUGAAAGCCCCCGGCUCAACCGGGGAGGGUCAUUGGAAACUGGGGAACUUGAGUGCAGAAGAGGAGAGUGGAAUUCCACGUGUAGCGGUGAAAUGCGUAGAGAUGUGGAGGAACACCAGUGGCGAAGGCGACUCUCUGGUCUGUAACUGACGCUGAGGAGCGAAAGCGUGGGGAGCGAACAGGAUUAGAUACCCUGGUAGUCCACGCCGUAAACGAUGAGUGC
rnacentral:rRNA from 1 species